GACCGCGUGGCCUGAUGGAUGAAGGCGCAUGACUUCGGAUCAUGAGAUUGCAGGUUCGAGUCCUGCUGUGGUCG